GAGGGUAUAGCUCAGUGGUACAGCACAUGCUUAGCAUGCAUUAGGUCCUGGGUUCAAUUCCCAGUACCUCCA
rnacentral:tRNA from 1 species